AUAUUGCACAAUGGGGGAAACCCUGAUGCAGCGACGCCGCGUGAGUGAAGAAGUAAUUCGUUAUGUAAAGCUCUAUCAGCAGGGAAGAAAGUGACGGUACCUGAGUAAGAAGCCCCGGCUAACUACGUGCCAGCAGCCGCGGUAAUACGUAGGGGGCAAGCGUUAUCCGGAUUUACUGGGUGUAAAGGGAGUGUAGACGGCGAUGCAAGUCUGAAGUGAAAGCCCGGUGCUCAACAUCGGGACUGCUUUGGAAACUGUAUAGCUGGAGUGCCGGAGAGGUAAGCGGAAUUCCUAGUGUAGCGGUGAAAUGCGUAGAUAUUAGGAAGAACACCAGUGGCGAAGGCGGCUUACUGGACGGUAACUGACGUUGAGGCUCGAAAGCGUGGGGAGCAAACAGG
rnacentral:rRNA from 1 species